rnacentral:rRNA from 1 species
AUUGAACGCUGGCGGCAGGCCUAACACAUGCAAGUCGAGCGGUAGAGAGAAGCUUGCUUCUCUUGAGAGCGGCGGACGGGUGAGUAAUGCCUAGGAAUCUGCCUGGUAGUGGGGGAUAACGUUCGGAAACGGACGCUAAUACCGCAUACGUCAUACGGGAGAAAGCAGGGGACCUUCGGGCCUUGCGCGAUCAGAUGAGCCUAGGUCGGAUUAGCUAGUUGGUGAGGGGAUGGCUCACCAAGGCGACGAUCCGUAACUGGUCUGAGAGGAUGAUCAGUAACACUGGAACUGAGACACGGUCCAGACUCCUACGGGAGGCAGCAGUGGGGAAUAUUGGACAAUGGGCGAAAGCCUGAUCCAGCCAUGCCGCGUGUGUGAAGAAGGUCUUCGGAUUGUAAAGCACUUUAAGUUGGGAGGAAGGGUUGUAGAUUAAUACUCUGCAAUUUUGACGUUACCGACAGAAUAAGCACCGGCUAACUCUGUGCCAGCCGCCGCCGUAA